rnacentral:rRNA from 1 species
UACGAAGGGUGCAAGCGUUACUCGGAAUUACUGGGCGUAAAGCGUGCGUAGGUGGUUUGUUAAGUCUGAUGUGAAAGCCCUGGGCUCAACCUGGGAACGGCAUUGGAUACUGGCUUACUAGAGUGCGGUAGAGGGUAGUGGGAUUCCCGGUGUAGCAGUGAAAUGCGUAGAUAUCGGGAGGAACAUCUGUGGCGAAGGCGACUACCUGGACCAGCACUGACACUGAGGCACGAAGGCGUGGGGAGCAAACAGGAUUAGAACCGUACC